rnacentral:misc_RNA from 1 species
UCGAGUUACCGCUCUACAACCCUUUGUGAACAUACCUAACUGUUGCUUCGGCGGGCAGGGGGUCCCCCCGGGGACGCCCUCCCGGCCCCGCCCCCCUACCAGGGGACAUGGCGCCCGCCGGAGGAUACCCAACUCUAUUUUAACGACGUUUCUUCUGAGUGGCACAAGCAAAUAAUUA